GAGCCUCCUUAGCUGCCUUCCCGCGGUGCCCGCACCGACACCAUCUGUCAACUUCACUUAGACUUUGCAGCCCUCGGCGCACCAGGCUGCCAGACGCCCAAAGUUGGAGGGCUCUCAGAAAAGAUCUGAGCCUGAAGAACUUUCCAUCUGUAAAUCAGCUACACAAUACAGUGAAGUGGAAUUACUGUGCGUUUCAUGGACGUAGGGUUCUAACCAAGGGCAGAGGAUGUGGGUGCAGACGCGAGCGAGGUCGUGUGACUGCCUGCGGGAGACGUUCUAACAGCAGCACGUGUGCAGUCGCCGUGAUGCGAAGAUAGUAAGUACUCUGAGGGUCUUGACUUUAUGACACUGCACUCCUGUGGCCUUUGUAACUAGGAAAUAGUUUGGAAGCCAAGCUUUGAUUGAUGUCUGGACUUUGGAUGUGCCCGUAGUGUAAGUAACACCUAUUAAAAUAUUUUUCCUGGCCUA